UCGGUUCAGGCAUUCAGCGAUUUUAUCUCUGCAAGUCAUCAGUCGCUGUACUAUGAAGUCGACAGUACUGGUUGCAAUGGUAAAAUGUGUGGCGCAACUAGCAUUCCACUUUUGACGUUUGUUACCCAUUUUCAUAGCCACUGCUAGAAAGGGGUCAAACAUGCAGAAUAUCCUUGAAAAGCAAAGAAUAUGCAGGACCUGGAGGAUUUUUCUGAAGAACAGCGGGCAGUUUAACUGCUCAGGACAAAGAAAGGACUUACGAACAACUAUGACAAAACAAAAAAACAGUCAUGGAUCAUCCAGACUGACACACUGGACAAAGAGCUGGGGGCCGUUUUGUCCCAGGUGGUGGAAAGAGAGAGGAGCUCCCCGUGCUGUAUGUCACCCAGAAGCUCUCGAUGAGGGAGACAAAGUACAGCACCAUCAAGGAGGAGUGUAUGGCCAUCAAGUGGGUGGUCCUAACCCUCCAGUACUACUGGGGCACCCUUUCACCUUCUGUUCCUAUCACGCCCCGCUCCAAUGGCUCCAUCACAUGAGGGACGGAUGAUUGGAUUACCUCUCCUGCCUGGGGGUGGAGUCAGCUGCAGGCCAGUGUUGGGCGGUGGGGGUAUGUAGAGGUGGGUGCAUGGUCAAUCAUCAGCUGUAGACGGAGAGGAGGUAGGCCGAUCCGGCAGGUAAUGCGUAAUGAUUUUCACCUGUGUCAUAUUACCACCAGUCUACUUAUUCGUGUCUGUUUGUGCUUUCAGUGCCUCCCAUAACCCGUGACCGAGAGCGAGAGAAACAGAGUGUGAGUCCGCUUGGCAGUACUUGUGAGACAUACACACACCAAGACAUGUGAACUUGAACCUAACAGAGCGAAAGCAGAGAGUGUUUGUUUUCGGUUGAGUUUUUGAAAGUGCGCUGAAAAGCACGGUCUGAAUAAACAUGAGCCCGGAGCUUAGUUAAGAUUCUGCCUGUCACUUGAGUCUUCUUCCACGCCCUCACACACUGGGGUUCUACAACCACAUAUUAAUUUCUGUUUUGAUAUUUAUAAUAUUGUUUUGAUGGACAGGUAAUGAAUAACUGAAUAAGUGAGGUUUUCAUUAAAGCUGCAGUACUGAACUUUUGCCUCUCUAUCGCCAUCUCUAUUUGAAAAAUGGUGCUAUGAAAAAUUUUGCCCCAUCCUGAUUUCUUCUGUUUUUGUGUAAAUCUCAUACUAAAUUGUUUCAGAAAUUAAUACAAAAUCUAAGUUAAAACAAAGGGAACCUGAGUAGACACAAAAUAUAGUUUUAAAUGACAGUGUUAUUUAUUGAAGCAAAAACUUUACCAACUGG